AUGCAAAGUCAAGAGGGAGAGUCAUCUCUCCCUGGCGGGGCCACACUGCCUUCCGGCCCCCCUUCUCCUUUGCUAAUGACCCCGGCACCUGUCUGGCAGUCAGCAGCUCGCACUGACUUCCUGCCAUGGCUCCCGCAGACGAAAAAGUGGCUCCGCCAGGGCCAGAGUCAGGCCCGGCACACUCUUCACCCACUUCUCCUCGGCGUCCCCUCCCGCCGUACGCUCCCUCUUGAGCUUGUCCAUACGGUGCGGGGCCAUCGAUCACGUCCCCGAUCUCUGCCUGCGGGCCGGGCCGGGCCCCGGGAUGGGGGCACGGCCCCCAGGAGCACGGGUGUGAGCUGGCCAUCGUUUCAGGCUCACGAACGCUCCGCAGGCUCCUUUGCCGGUUGCCAGCUCCGGGCUUCGCGUGCUGGAAACAUCUUGAGCAAAAUGUCACGGAGAGCAUCUCGGCAGUGUCCCGCUGGCCGAGGACACGGGGCUGCCGAGCGCGCCAUCUGCCCGCAGCCUCUUGGAGGUAAUUGUAUCAGAAUCUCUCGCGUCCUGGAACAAGGGGGAUGUCAAAUGCACUUUCCUUCCUCUAGGAAGGUGAUUCUUUCCCCCAGGAGGCUCGGGGAAUGCUGGGAGUUUUUUGCCAUCCUGCCGAAAGGGAAGAAGGGACCCGAAAUGCCGCGUGAAAUGGAUUCACCGAGCCCGUGCCUGGGAAGCAGCCCCGCCCGUUCCUUUUCAAGACCCAGCGCCGCCGUGGCCUGACAAGCG
rnacentral:lncRNA from 1 species